UUUAUAAUUGCGGUACCGUCAAAUUCCAUAAAUUAUCCCUGCAGCAACUAGCUUUAGGAUAGAUGCUCUCCGUCCUUUUUCCUUGCUGCAGCAACUAGCUUUAGGAUAGAUGCUCCAUCCUUUUCCCUUGCUACAAUUCUCUUUGAAAAUUACGCAUAAGGAUUCAAUCCAAUUCAUCGUGGCAUUCGUUAGGGUCAUGAACAAUUUGAGUCCACUCAAAAAUUUUGCUCCAAAUAAUUUUUGAUUUCGUGCAUCCAUGAAAGAGGUGGAUAGAAACAACAAUUGCUGCUUCCAUCAAAUCAAACCGAUGCAAUCCCGCUUUUGUGGGAAGUCUUCCAAGGCAACGAUUUUCGGUCACUGAGCGAUUCCGGCGGCAUUAGACCUAGCGUUUGUGCUUGUGGUUAACGUCAAAGGCUUGAUUCAGUUUGCUUUAAACUCUUAGUCCUUGGAUUAUGGACAAGUUGGAAAAAGCUGAGUUGCAUAAUCGAGUACUAUGAGACGAGGAAGGGGGACCAAAAACGACCAAGGCUCCAUCACCCUCAAACUUAGCCACACUCUUGUAAAAAAAGUUUCGGAAGAGAUGAUUCGGAGAAGGACCAUACACAAUACAAAAUAUGCCAAUGGUAUUGAGAGAUUGGAACCCAAAAUUUGAAUUCAAAAGGGAUAUGCUGCGAACCUUUCUAGUUUGGAUAAAGUUACCUAAUCUCCCUUUACAUCUGUGGGGUGCUAGAAGUCUAGGAAAGAUUGGAAGUGCCCUAGGGAAUCCUCUAUUCACAGAUGAAUACACUGCAAACAAGUUGAGGGCGUCGUAUGCUAGAAUACUAAUGGAAAUUGAUGUUACACACAAACAACAGGAUUACAUUACUAUCAAGGAUAGUUUUGGAAAUAAAAGGAAGCAAACAGUUGAGUAUGAGUGGAAACCAACUUUCUGUGAAACCUGUCAAAAUGUUGGACCAUAACUUGAGUUACGGGAAUCGAAUUGAUGUGUUCUAAUAUCCGUUGGAAAGAUAAGAUAAAGAGAUACAAGUUUCAUGUUGAAGUCAAAAGCUGAUUAAGAGUUAAAGAGGGUAGAAUAAUUCUUUGAAGUAUCAGACUUAAUCAAAAUAGUUAGUUUGGGCCAGUUUUUGUAAUUUUCGGGUCGGAUCCCAUAAGGGACCGAAUUUCCCUUUUAUUAUAUUAGGUUUUUCACCACUACAGUAAUCCUACUCUGAAUUUUGAUGAUACAAUAUUGCUUA